rnacentral:rRNA from 1 species
CACGUAGGGACCAAGCGUUGUCCGGAUUCAUUGGGCGUAAAGAGCUCGUAGGCGGUUCGAUAAGUCGGGUGUGAAACCUCCAGGCUCAACCUGGAGACGCCACCCGAUACUGUCGUGACUAGAGUCCAGUAGGGGAGCGUGGAAUUCCUGGUGUAGCGGUGAAAUGCGCAGAUAUCAGGAGGAACACCAGCGGCGAAGGCGGCGCUCUGGGCUGGAACUGACGCUGAGGAGCGAAAGUGUGGGGAGCGAACAGG